rnacentral:rRNA from 1 species
GAUGAACGCUGGCGGCGUGCCUAAUACAUGCAAGUCGAGCGGAGCGACGGACGGGUGAGUAAUUCCUAUGAAUCUGCCUGCGCGUUGGGGAUAGCGUACGGAAACGGGCGCUAAUAACUCCUACUAGCAGAUGAGCCUAGGUCGGAUUAGCUAGUUGGUGGGGUAAAGGUCCACCAAGGCAACGAUCCGUAACUGGUCUGUGAGGAUGAUCAGUCACACUGGAACUGAGACACGGUACAGACUCCUACGGGAGGCAGCAGUGGGGAAUAUUGGACAAUGGGCGAAAGCCUGAUUCAGCCAUGCCGCGUGUGUGAAGAAGGUCUUAGGAUUGUAAAGCACUUUCAGUUGGGAGGCGUUACCAACAGAAUAAGCACCGGCUAACUCCGUGCCAGCAGCCGCGGUAAUAC